rnacentral:rRNA from 1 species
UACGGAGGGGGCUAGCGUUGUUCGGAAUUACUGGGCGUAAAGCGCACGUAGGCGGAUCAGUCAGUUAGGGGUGAAAGCCCAGGGCUCAACCCUGGAACUGCCUUUAAUACUGCUGGUCUGGAGGUCGAGAGAGGUGAGUGGAAUUCCGAGUGUAGAGGUGAAAUUCGUAGAUAUUCGGAGGAGCACCAGUGGCGAAGGCGGCUCACUGGCUCGAUACUGACGCUGAGGUGCGAAAGCGUGGGGAGCAAACAGG